rnacentral:rRNA from 1 species
CCUACGGGGGGCAGCAGUGGGGAAUAUUGGACAAUGGGCGAAAGCCUGAUCCAGCCAUGCCGCGUGUGUGAAGAAGGCCUUCGGGUUGUAAAGCACUUUCAGUGGGGAAGAAAGCCUUGGGGCUAAUACCCUCGAGGAAGGACAUCACCCACAGAAGAAGCACCGGCUAACUCCGUGCCAGCAGCCGCGGUAAUACGGAGGGUGCGAGCGUUAAUCGGAAUUACUGGGCGUAAAGCGCGCGUAGGCGGUCUGAUAAGCCGGUUGUGAAAGCCCCGGGCUCAACCUGGGAACGGCAUCCGGAACUGGCAGGCUAGAGUGCAGGAGAGGAAGGUAGAAUUCCCGGUGUAGCGGUGAAAUGCGUAGAGAUCGGGAGGAAUACCAGUGGCGAAGGCGGCCUUCUGGACUGACACUGACGCUGAGGUGCGAAAGCGUGGGUAGCAAACAGGAUUAGAUACCCCUGUAGUC